CCGGAAUUAUUGGGCGUAAAGGGCUCGUAGGCGGUUUGUCGCGUCGGGAGUGAAAUCCACUGGCUUAACUGGUGGCUUGCUUUCGAUACGGGCAGACUGGAGGUAUGCAGGGGAGAACGGAAUUCCUGGUGUAGCGGUGAAAUGCGCAGAUAUCAGGAGGAACACCGGUGGCGAAGGCGGUUCUCUGGGCAUGAUCUGACGCUGAGGAGCGAAAGUGUGGGGAGCGAACAGG
rnacentral:rRNA from 1 species